rnacentral:tRNA from 1 species
GAUUUAGCUCAGUGGUAGAGCGCUUGCCUAGCAAGCACAAGGCCCUGGGUUCAGUUCCCAGAUCA